AGGGAGCGGGUGUGAGGCGGGCAUGAGGGGAGGUGGUGUGAGGCAGGCAUAAGGGGAGUGGGUAUAAGGGGAGCAGGUGUGAGGCGGGCACGAGGGGAGGUGGUGUGAGGCAGGCAUAAGGGGAGUGGGUAUAAGGGGAGCAGGUGUGAGGCGGGCACGAGGGGAGGUGGUGUGAGGCGGGCAUGACGGGAGCAGGUGUGAGGCAGGCACGAGGGGAGGUGGUGUGAGGCAGGCAUAAGGGGAGUGGGUAUAAGGGGAGCAGGUGUGAGGCGGGCACGAGGGGAGGUGGUGUGAGGCGGGCAUGACGGGAGCAGGUGUGAGGCAGGCACGAGGGGAGGUGGUGUGAGGCAGGCAUAAGGGGAGUGGGUAUAAGGGGAGCAGGUGUGAGGCGGGCACGAGGGGAGGUGGUGUGAGGCGGGCAUGACGGGAGCAGGUGUGAGGCAGGCACGAGGGGAGGUGGUGUGAGGCAGGCAUAAGGGGAGUGGGUAUAAGGGGAGCAGGUGUGAGGCGGGCAUGAGGGGAGGUGGUGUGAGGUGGGCAUGACGGGAGCAGGUGUGAGGCAGGCACGAGGGGAGGUGGUGUGAGGCAGGCAUAAGGGGAGUGGGUAUAAGGGGAGCAGGUGUGAGGUGGGCACGAUGGGAGGUGGUGUGAGGCAGGCAUAAGGGGAGCAGGUUGGAGGUGGGAAUGAGAGGAGCAAGCACAAGGGGCAUGGAGACAAAGAGAGUAGAUAGGAUGCAGGUACUAGGGGAAUGGACACAAGCCAGAGAGA